rnacentral:rRNA from 1 species
UACGGAGGGUGCAAGCGUUGUUCGGAAUCAUUGGGCGUAAAGCGCGUGUAGGCGGCUUGGCAAGUCGGUUGUGAAAGCCCGGGGCCCCAACCCCGGAAUUGCAUCCGAAACUGCCUGGCUAGAGUUCCGGAGAGGAAGGCAGAAUUCCCGGUGUAGGGGUGAAAUCCGUAGAUAUCGGGAGGAAUACCAGCGGCGAAGGCGGCCUUCUGGACGGUGACUGACGCUGAGACGCGAAAGCGUGGGGAGCAAACAGG